AGGGUUCGAUCCUGGCUCAGAACGUACGCUGGCGGCACGCCUAAUACAUGCAAGUCGAACGAAGUAGCAAUACUUAGUGGCGAACGGGUGAGUAUAAUGUGGGUAUCUGCCUUUUGGUUUGGAAUAACACGGGGAAACUUGUGCUAAUACCGGAUAAGCCUUUACAGGGAAAGUUUUAACGCCAAAAGAUGAGCCCGCACUUGAUUAGCUAGUUGGUAAGGUAAAAGCUUACCAAGGCUACGAUCAAUAGCUGAUCUGAGAGGAUGAUCAGCCACAUUGGGACUGAGACACGGCCCAAACUCCUACGGGAGGCAGCAGUAGGGAAUCUUGCACAAUGGGGGAAACCCUGAUGCAGCGAUGCCGCGUGAGUGAAGAAGGCCUUUGGGUUGUAAAGCUCUUUCGUCGGGGAAGAAAAUGACUGUACCCGAAUAAGAAGGUCCGGCUAACUUCGUGCCAGCCGCCGCGGUAAUAC
rnacentral:rRNA from 1 species